rnacentral:rRNA from 1 species
GAUGAACGCUGGCGGCGUGCCUAAUACAUGCAAGUCGAGCGAACAGACGAGGAGCUUGCUCCUCUGACGUUAGCGGCGGACGGGUGAGUAACACGUGGAUAACCUACCUAUAAGACUGGGAUAACUUCGGGAAACCGGAGCUAAUACCGGAUAAUAUAUUGAACCGCAUGGUUCAAUAGUGAAAGACGGUUUUGCUGUCACUUAUAGAUGGAUCCGCGCCGCAUUAGCUAGUUGGUAAGGUAACGGCUUACCAAGGCAACGAUGCGUAGCCGACCUGAGAGGGUGAUCGGCCACACUGGAGCUGAGACACGGUCCAGACGCCUACGGGAGGCAGCAGUAGGGAAUCGUCCGCAAUGGGCGAAAGCCUGACGGAGCAACGCCGCGUGAGUUAUGAAGGUCUUCGGAUCGUAAAACUCUGUUAUUAGGGAAGAACAAAUGUGUAAGUAACUAUGCACGUCUUGACGGUACCUAAUCAGAAAGCCACGGCUAACUACGUG